GAACCUGCGGAAGGAUCAUUAUCGAAUAAACUUGAACAGGCUGUUGCUGGUCCCAGGACAAUGUGCACGCUUGUCAUCUUUAUCAUUUCUCCCAACUGUGCACAUAUUGUAGACCCUGGAGGUUUUUGGAUUUGUUCCGAGUGGGGACUGCUGUGCUUCAAAGAAAAAGAAGUCGGCUUUCCCUUGAACUUUUUCCAGGUCUAUGUCAUUUUUCACAACCUCUUGAAUGUGUUUAGAAUGUUGAAAUAAAGAAAAGUUAAUAAAUACAACUUUCAGCAACGGAUCUCUUGGCUCUCGCAUCGAUGAAGAACGCAGCGAAAUGCGAUAAGUAAUGUGAAUUGCAGAAUUCAGUGAAUCAUCGAAUCUUUGAACGCAUCUUGCGCUCCUUGGUAUUCCGAGGAGCAUGCCUGUUUGAGUGUCAUUUAAACUCUCAAACCACAUCAUUCAUUUGACGUGGCUUUGGACGUGGGGGUUGCCGGCUUUCUUCUCAGAGAGGCCUGCUCCCCUGAAAAGCAUUAGUGGUAUCUGGAGUGGAAAACCGCUAGGUGUGAUAAUACUGUCUAUGCCUUUGGUUAUGCCACAAUGUGCUGCUUCCAACCGCACAUUUU
rnacentral:rRNA from 1 species